GGGUGAUUAGCUCAGUUGGUUUAGAGCGUCCCGUUGACAUCGGGGAGGUCGCUGGUUCGAGCCCAGUAUUGCCCA
rfam:Candidatus Amoebophilus sp. 36-38 SCNpilot_cont_1000_p_scaffold_423, whole genome shotgun sequence.